AGAACUUCGACUUGGGAAUUGAAGUUCAGAAAGGAAUCGAAGUUGCAGAAGGAAUCAAAGUUGACCGCAACGGUAACAGACUUGCAGCGCCUAUAUUUACAUUUUGAGAAAUUUUUAUUCUUCUUUAGUUUCGUUUUAAAUACUGCUUUGAUGUUUAUUUACAUUCAUAUUUUAGAAUUUAAUUUCAUGAACAAGCCUAGCUAAAUUUUCAACUAAGGUUGAGAAUGAAACCUCCUUGAAAAUUAGUAAUAUUAUUUAUGAGAUUGAUUUUUACCAAUUAUCGAUGCUUUCAAUUGAGAGGGAUAAAAUUCUUGACAUAGUUCAAUCAUGUUUUUAUCAUGAUUUAGAAUAAUCUUAAUCAGCUGAUAGCUUUAUUCAUAAUUUUGUUAAAAAUAAAAACAAUUGAAAUAGAAAUUGAUCAUAAUGCGUCCAUGUGUUUUGGGCAUCAGAUCGUGGCAUUGUGUUUUGUGUUUUGGGCAUCAGAAUAAGAAUAAACGGCCAGCAGAUUAGAACUGAUCAUGAGAUGCGGCUACAGACUUCAAUGGACCCACAUGAUCGUGUAUGGCUACAAUACAUAGUUGUAAAUUCUAUUGAUCAUGAGAUUCUGUCAAGAAGUUACAGGGAGGGGAACAAUAAUAUGAGGUUUACAUUUGAAAGUGAUUCAGAGAAAGCAAUUUUCAAAAGUGCUGGAGUCCAUCUAAUAUACGGGAAUGACAAUUUCAUUGAUCCUAUUCAACUUUCAAAGAGAUAUGCGCGAGAUGAUGGUGAGCAUGACUUGGAACCCACAACAGAAGAGGCGGGGAUCUUCAACGAGCUCUAGCAUUAUGGAAAUUCAAGGAUGCUAAUGAUGAUUUAAUUAAUGAAGAUUUGGAUUUAGAACUUCCACUUGGCAAUUGAAGUUCAGAAAGGAAUCAAAGUUGCUGAAGGAAUCAACGUUGGGAAAGAACUAUAACCAUAAUAGACUUUAACGCAAUCUCCUCGACCACUUUACUGGAAUUUCAGUACAUAUAUAUACACCAGGAAUAUUGAAACAUGUUCAAAGGCCUCCAAGACUAUGUUUUUAGACCAAGACCAGAUAUUUAAAGGGAAAUUUAAGUGCCUUGAAAACUAUGUUUUACAGACCUAAUGACCAUAAGAAAGCUUUCUAUGAGACUAUCACGUCUUCCCAUAUUGGAAAGGAUGCUGGAUGAGUUGUUAUACUAGGCAAUAGAAGGUCACCAUUAAAAGGCUGAAGUUAAUGACCAAAUUUAUGUGUGGAGGGAAGAAAGAUGAGGAUGCAUUGCUACAUCUAAUGGAUGCAACUGCAGACAUGCCACUGUUCCUGCAGCACCCCCUCCCUGUCAUGUUGAUGUAGGAUAUGCAAAAAUCAGAAACCCUCCUAAAGUUCAAGGCCGCCCUUCAACCCAAUGACGCAUUAAUCAACUGGAAUGGCUCAACAACACCAUGUUCUGAGCAUAACGUAAAUUGGGUUGGUGUUCAUUGUGGGAAAGGAAAAGUUAAGGGUUUACGACUCGAGAAUAUGAGACUAAAUGGUUUCAUUGAUGUGGACUUGCUCGCGUUACUGUCGAAUUCGAGAACUAUAAGCUUUAUGAAGAAUAACUUUAACCUUGCCAAAGCUUUUGGAGUUAAGGCUUGAGGAUAACCAUUUUGAUGGUUAGAUACCAGAUUUUCAACAGAAGUCAUUGAGUGCUUUUAACGUAUCAGGCAAUGAAUUGGGAUGGAUUCAAGCUCCUUCUCUGUUCAAGGGAGCUCAGAUCCUUUAAAGUAGCUUUUACCUGUUACUUCAAUAUUUCUGAUGAUGCAUGGAUUGAGGCUGCUGCAAAUCUUCCAUUAUUGAAGGAGCUUGAAAUUUCAAACCGUCCUUGGAGCAUAGAAAAGUUUCUGGAAGCUGUGGACUACAAUUGUCCCCAUUUGAAAUCAUGAUGCAUUGAAAAGUCUGGGAAUUUAUUAUUGGGGAGCAGAUUGUUCCAAUGGGAGUAAUCAUUAGGCUGUUGCUAUUUUAGAGAACCUGCCCGGAUUAGUCAACCUCUUGCUUUAUGAAAAUACGCUGACAGAUGAUGCAUGUAGUUAAUUAUCAGUUGUAUCCACUUCACAGGUUUCUUACUUAGAUGAAGGUUGCACAUGAUGCAUAUUGGUAGUUUUAUUUUUGAGCAAGUCCAACCUGGUCAACAGUCACCCAAAUCCACAAUCUUGGGGUCAAAAGGAAGGAAGCAACUUUUCUGUUAGAGAUAAAGUCAUACUAGGCUUUUUGAGACCUGUAAUAUUUGUUGUAAUAUUUGUUUACUUGUGUUUCAUUUGCUGUAAUAUUUGCAAGUUAUGAACUUAAUUCAAGAACUAUUGUUUCUCAUUUCAA